rnacentral:lncRNA from 1 species
GGCCACACCUGUGGCAUAUGGAAGUUCCUGGGCUAGGGGUUGAAUAGGAGCUGCAGCUGCAGGCCAAUACCACAGCCUCAGCAACUCAGGGUCCAAGUCCCAUCUGCAGCCUACACCACUGAGAUUCUUCACCCACUGAGUGAGGCCAGGGAUGUUCAUAACUGCAUCCUCAUGGAUACUAUGUCAGAUUCUUAACCCACUGAGCCACAACAAGAAAUCCUUCUCUAUCUAAAAAAAAAUUUUUUUAUAGCCACCACCACGGCAUAUAGAAGUUCCUGGGCCAGGGAUUGACUCCUGGACCACAGCUGCAAUAACACUGGGUCCUUUAACCCACUGUGCUGGGCCUGAGGAUUGAACCUGCACCUCUGCAGUGACUUGAGCUGUGACAGUUGAUCCUUAACCCACUGUGCCACCGAAGGAACUCCUCUAUUUUUUUUUUCAUCUUCUCUGGACCUAUGUAAAAUGAAGCUAAUAAUAUCCAAUGUUUGGCACACAGUAGUGCUCAAUAAGUAUCACAUAUUGUUAUAAGAUUGGGUUAUUGAGGCAGGCUGUGUCUUAUUAAUGUUUGCUGCUCAACAAAAUUUUUUUUUUUUUCAAUUUUUGGCCAUGGUUUGCAGUGGCUUGAUGUGGGAAUCUCAUUUCCCAGAUGAAUCCGGGCCAAAGCAGUGAAAGCUCUGAGUCCUGACGACUAAACCACCAGGGAAUUCCCAACAAAUUGUUGUUGUUAAUUAACAGGAAGAAAGACUACCUUUGAUAGCAUGUCACUGAGGUAAGUGCAAAAAAACUUCACAAAAAUUUGAUUAUACCUGAUAGAGCACCCGAUAAAUAUCUUCCAUUGUAGGGUCCAUCAAUUGCAACCUUGAGACCUCACUAGAAUUAUGUGGGUUCCAUCUCCAAUAGAAAGUAGUGUAUAAGACAAUGGUAUCAUAUGGUCAUAUUUAAAUAAUUCAUGCCAAAGAUUAUAGAGAUAGUCACAUUAUAAAUUCAGACUUCACUGCUAAGCAUCACCACUCAAGAUAAUUUGUAAUAGUUACACAACUUUGUGAAUAUAAUAAAACUGAUAGGGAGAGAGGAGGACAGCUACACAGGUAGUUGCAGAAGUCCCAGGAGGGGACCACGGAUAGAGAGGAGGGAACUCUGGGAGACGACUGGAAGUCAACGGUGGCUCAAGAAAGCCAUCAGAACGUUGUGGAACGAAGCAGCCUUGCUGCUUAACUAUAAAACCGUAAGCAAAAGCCAGAGGAACGCCUCAGGUCAUUCAGGGAAAGAGAAAAUGAGGCCUGCGUUCAAGUUCAGCAAGAUGAUGAUCCUUAGGACCAGGGACGGGAAUGGAAGGGAAAGAUGACAUUCCAAAGCAGGACACCCUCACCACAGGCAAACCUGAGCUGAUCUGACCUCUUUCAGCACAUGCUCCCCUUCUGCUGAUCUGAUGAAUAAGCGCCAGGACAGUCCUAGUUUGACCUCAUAGAGUCAAAUACUCUCUCAACCUAUAUGAAGCAGGAGCUAGCGAUGGAAGCCUGACGGUGAAUCUCAAGAGUGAGGAAGAAGGUGGUCUUUCUCAACCCCCACUUUCCUUGGAUUAUAAAAAUGGAGUCUACCUAAUCCUCCGGGGAGAGCCUGCUUACCUGACUCUCUCACAAGCAUCUUAUCUUUUUUUUUUUUUAGGGCCACAGCUGCAGCACAUGGAGGUUCCCAGCCUAGGGGUGGAACUGGAGGUACAGCUGCCAGCCUAUGUCACAGCCACAGCAGUGCCAGGUCCAAGUUGUGUCUUCGACCUACACCACAGCUCUCAGCAAUGCCGGAUCAUUAACCCACUGAGAGAGGCCAGGGAUCAAAUGCAUAAUAAUAUCAUGGUUUCUAGUCGGAUUCGUUUCCAUGCACCACGAUGGGAACUCCUUUUUUUCUUCUUCUUUUUUUUAACAAGCGUCUUAUCUUAAUAAAUCUAUUUCUUGCCUAUCGCUUUGUCUCUCACUGAAUUCCUUCUGUGCAGAGACACAAAGAACCUGAGCCUCAGUAAGUCCACAUACCAAAUGAGUGGUUUUAAUUAAAAAACUGAGGAUUCAAGUCCCAAUCUGCGUUUUGUCUGAGUUUGAAUCAGAUGUUUUGGUUUUAAAGCCACUAAAUUGUACACUUUUAAAGGGUAAAUUUUAGGGAGUUCCUGUCGUGGCGCAGUGGAGAGGAAUCCGACUAGGAACCAUGAGGCUGUGGGUUCAGUCCCUGGCCUUGCUCAGUGGGUUGAGGAUCCGGCACUGCCAUGAGUUGUGGUGAGGUCGAAGACGAGGCUUGGUUCUGGCCUUGCUGUGGUGUAGGCCAGCAGCUGUAGCUCCAAUAAGACCCCUAGCCUGGGAACCUCCACAUGCCGUGGGUUUGGCCCUAAAAAGCAAAAAAAAAAAAAAAAAAAAAAAAAACCCAAACAAACAAAAAAAAUAAAGGGUACAUUUUAUGGUAUAUGAAUAUCUCAAUUUUUAAAAAUUGUAAUAGCUCUUUACUACAAAGCACUUCAUCUGUAUUGUCUCAUUCAAUUUUCACAACAGAGUUCCUGCUGUGGUGCAGUGGGUUAAGAACCUGACUGCAGCAGCUCAGGUGGCUACAGAGGUAUGGAUUCAAUCCCGAGCCUGGUGCAGUGGGUUAAAAGGUCCAAUAUUGCAGCAGUUAAUGCACAGGUCACAGCUGCGACUUGAAUUCAAUCCCUGGCCUGGGAACUUCCAUAUGCCAUGGGUUCAGCCUUUAUAAAAAAAAAAAAAAGAAUCUCUGCAACAAAACCUGAAAAUAGUUAUUAACUGUACUAUACUAUCAUGAUUAGGAAAUUGAAACUCAGAGAAGUUUAAUGAUUUAAUGAUUUCCUCAAAGUCUCACAGUUUGUGCAGAGUAAGAUGCAAACUUUCAUUUCCAAACGCUAAACCCAGUGUUUUUACCAAACCUAGUAUUACGUACUUCCUGCUUGUCAGAAAUAGGCUAUCUCUGGGAUAUCUAGAAGCAAAGUGGUUAAAAUGGGGUCAAAGUUGCAGGAAAAGCCAGACUCUUCUAAUUUUCCCAACCUAACUAAGAAUUGUUCUUCCUCAAGAAGACAUUGGUCUUGCGACUGGAAUUUUGAUUUUGUUUUGUUUUUGUCUUUUUGAGGCAGCACCUGCGGCAUAUGGAGGUUCCCAGACCAGGUGUCUAAUCAGAGCUGUAGCCGCUGGCCUAUGCCACAGCCACAGCAACGCAGGAGCCGAGCUGCAUCUGUGACCUACACCACAUGGCAACGCCAGAUCCUUAACCCACUGAGCAAGGCCAGGGAUCGAAACUGCAACCUCAUGGCUCCUAGUCGGAUUCGUUUCUGGUGCACCAUGACAGGAACUCUGGGAUUGGAAUUUUGAGAUCUGGGUUUGCAAGAUGCAGCUCUGUCACCCAUAUGAACAAAUACUUUUGCUGAAGGAAAUAGGGUGAAUUAAUUGGAGAUUUCUUGUUUCUCAAAAGAGAUUAAUCUAUGUUAUGUGAAAUACCCAAUCACAAGUAAUAAUUUGGCUUAUUUUGGUCUUGUUCUUUAACUGAAACCAUGCCCAAAGUUCACUUAAUGACAAUGUAUAGUAUAAUGUUAUUGAAAUUUCUAAUCAAAGCUCCCAAGACUAGUUUUCUACAUGGCUCUUGCUAGUAAAAUUGUCAGCAAAGUAGUCAACAAAACAUAUUCACACUAAUCUUCAAGAGACUUCUAGUAAAGGGGAGCCAAGAAUGGGUUACAUACACUCAGAGGACUGAUUUAAAAGCAACCACCUGCAAUAGCAGCCAGAUCAAAAUAUAAUUUUGUUUUGGCCCCACCCACAGCAUCUGGAAGUUUCCAAGCCAGGAAUCCAAUCCUCACCACAGAAGCAACCCCAGCCACUGUUGUGACAGCCUUGGAUCUUUAACCUGCUAAGCCACAGGGGACAUCUCAAGACAUAGUUUCAAUGUACUCUAAAUUCUUUCCCAGAGAGGCACCAACACAGAAAAAAAGGGAAGGAUUUCAUCUCUCUAUAUAUUUUGUGUGGUUUCUGAAAGAAUUUUUUUUUAAUUCAGAGAAUGUCUAUUGGCACUACAGAAAACUUGGACAUUUUAAAGAGAACUUUCAUUAAUUAUGAAAGGACAAACUGACAUUGUGGAGGAAAGCUGAGAAUCAGCAAAAACACCUUCCAAGUUCUCUGUCACCUGAAGUUCAGGCUAAUUGUUCCGCUCAUUUUUGUUCCUCUUUUCUGUCCAUCCAGCCCUAAGAAAUGUGGACUUGUGGUCAACAGAGCCUGGCAGAGGCAGGACUGAGGCUGGAGAAUACUGUGGCAUUUGGACUCCUGACUCCCUGAAACCAGGUAGGGCCCUGUGGGGCUCCCGGGUAUAGGCCUUUCUGUACCCCCAAUUCUUGAUUUUAGGGGAUAAGCUUCAGCCUCCAUGACCUUCCCUGAGUUCCAUAGGGCAAGCUCAGACAGUUGCUAAUCAGGGAAAGAAGGGGAUGCAGCCACCAGGGAGGAACAGCCUAGAAACAACAGUGCAGCCUUGGGGCAAGGUCCCAGUUCCUCUUCUAGGAAUAUACACAACAAUAUCUUUGAACCCUUCUGCAGAACUAAAACUCCCAACAAAAACCAGGGAUGGAGAACCACCAGAGGCAGUCCUGGGGCCACCAAACACCAACUCUCAUGGAGAAGGAAAGCUUGCAUCUAGACUGAUCCUCAUCUGUGGCCCUGUUUUCAGCUCCCAAAUUACAAAACCACUUCCUAAUCUCUCCCAAGGGAGGGCACAGUUUUUAGGGCAUUAGUCUGCUGUGGCCUCCCUUGCCUGGCAAAGCAACAAAGGUAUUUUUUUUUCUCCUUCACCCCAAACUGCCUCUGCAUUUCUGUUCGGCACUGGCAACUCUCUCACUAAACCACAACCCCUACCCCAUUAACACAAAGCAACUCCUAGGAGUGAGGAGUGAGGAAUCUCAAGCCUUCCCUCCCAGCUGCACAGACAAUGGGCCACCCCAGAUGGGCGGGCUGUUGGGAGGGGUGGCACGACCUGCCCUUUGGACUCGAAGCUAGCACUUACCCAGCACUUCCUGUCUGCUAGUCUCUGUGCAAUGAGCCUUUCAUGCUCUUUAAAACAAAUCGAUGAGGCAGGCGGGUCAUGCAACCCUAAUCUAUUCGAUUAAACGUUACAGGCAGGCGAAGUAAACUAAGGCUCAGGAGACCAGCUGCAGGCGCUUCACACAAGCGCUCU